UGAAAAUGAUUGUCCAUGAGAAAGAGUGA
rnacentral:piRNA from 1 species